rnacentral:rRNA from 1 species
CUGGUCUUUCCUGCACCAGACUUGUCUUCCUGCACCAGACUUGUCCUCCUGCACCAGACUUGUCCUCCUGCACCAGACUUGUCCUCCUGCACCAGACUUGUCCUCCUGCACCUGCCAGAAUUCAUAUGCUUGUCCCAAAGAUUAAGCCAUGCAUGCCAAGAGUCAGGUGCCCGGGCUGGGGCAGCGCCUUCGGGCCCGCCUCGCCCGGGCUAAUGAAUCGGUGGACGGCUCCGUAUAUCUGUUGUAACAUAUCGCGGUAAACUAGCGUGGAUAUAGCACGGAAAAACUGUGUGUAAACCAGCAGAAGCCGGAUAUCGCGGGUACGGGAGGGUCAACCUCCCCCCCGCGGUUAGAGGGGCAGGCCGCCGAGGCCGUCUUCGGCCGCCCCUUCUUCCGAGUCCCUAAAGUACAACCCCCACACUACGCACGCGUGAGCCGACUCCCGUGCAGAUGGGGAGGAAACGGGGGCCUCUUCAGCCUGGAACGGCACACGACCGAAGAGACUAACCACGAGCGCGCGAUUGGCUUCAGACCUAUCAGCUAGAUGGUCGGGUAUUGGCCUACCAUGGCGAUGACGGGUACAGAGGAUUAGGGUUUGAUCCUGGAGAGGUAGCCUGAGAAAUCGCUCCCACUUCUAAGGAAGGCAGCAGGCGCGUAACGUUCCCAAUGCUGGCAACAGUGAGGACGUGACGGGACAUAAUAACACCCCUACAAUUGAUGAGUAGUGGGCUGUUCUUAAUGAUGUGGGCAUAACAC